rnacentral:rRNA from 1 species
AACGAACGCUGGCGGCAUGCCUAACACAUGCAAGUCGAACGAAGUCUUCGGACUUAGUGGCGCACGGGUGCGUAACGCGUGGGAAUCUGCCCUUGGGUGCGGAAUAACUUCUCGAAAGGGAUGCUAAUACCGCAUAAUGUCGUAAGACCAAAGAUUUAUCGCCCAAGGAUGAGCCCGCGUAAGAUUAGCUAGUUGGUGGGGUAAAAGCCUACCAAGGCGACGAUCUUUAGCUGGUCUGAGAGGAUGAUCAGCCACACUGGGACUGAGACACGGCCCAGACUCCUACGGGAGGCAGCAGUGGGAAAUAUUGCGCAAUGGGCGAAAGCCUGACGCAGCGACGCCGCGUGGGUGAUGAAGGCCUU